UCCUCUCGCCUCCCUCGCCGAUGGUGGCAGCGGCGGCAGCGGCGACUCAGACCCUGGGGUCAGGGGGACGGGCGCCCAGGCCGGAAGUGACCUUCCUGGCCGCUUCCGCCCGCGCCGCUCCCCCCUCCGCUUUCCACCCCCACUCCGGCCGCCACCCCGUCCUCGCCGCUCUAGGAAAGCGAGCCCGCAACCCCCCUAGCCGCGGCCCCCUGCUCUAUGGUGCGAGCGGGUGGGCGUCCAGGGAGCCACUUCCGGGCACGUCUAGGACGCGGGUCCUCCGCCCGCGCUCUAUGGCACCACGCGCCGAGGGGCAGCAGCCCCGCCCCCUCCCCGGACCGGAGGCGCGGGCCCGACCCGUUAGGCGGAAACUUCCGGUGUCUGGGGAGGUGCCCUCCUCCCCUCGGGGCUCGGGCCCUCGCGCCUGCGCAGCCCUCUCCCCUCUCCGGUCGCGGGCUGGAGCUGUGCAGAUAGUGGCGCAGGCCGCUCGUGCCACCCGGGUCCUCCAGCCGUCUCUAUUGCUGUAACCCGUUCCCUGCCGACGCUCCCCACAGUGGCCGGCGCCUGCGCUGGAGGGCUCAGUCCUUUGCGACUCCGCACCUUGCGUUACCGGACAGAGAGCGUGCUGGCCUCCGGCGCCGGCCCAAGUCCGUGUGUUUCCCCCUUUCUAAAUGGCCCAAAGGUGAGAAGGGACAGCUUCGUCCUCAUUCCUGUGCCCCACUCCCAGCUGGCCAAAGCGAGAACCUAAAGGUGAGAUCUGGAGCAGAUCACAAUGUUGGAAGCUGUGUAUUGAAGACAGUGGAUCAAUAAGCUGCAAGGAGCAAGACAGACCCGACGUAGUACGUGAGAAAUGACUUUCUGAUUUAAGCCAUGGGUCUUUCAGAGUCUCUCUUUAGCCAAACCAAAGUUGGGACAUUUCCCAAACAUAGAAUGGGGCUGCAGCAGAGAUGGCCAACUCUCCACCAAAACCUGCUCUUCCCUUCCAAAGGGUGGAAUUACUCACGGGGCACUGCCCCCAAUUAGGGUCAGCGUUGACCAGUCCUCCUGGUAUCUGAGUGUGACCUUGUGAUUGGUUCUCACCAGCGAUGAACCUGGAAGGGGACCCCCACCAGAAGGUAACUUGAUCUUGGACUUUCAGGCUUCGGAACUGUGAGCAAUAAAUCUCUGUUGUUUACAA